GAUAAUUUCACUACUACUGAGAAUAAAAUACAAUAAACUUCGGGACAAGAUGUCACAUUAUACAUAAGCAUAUACCAAAUACUAUGAAAGAAAAUAAAUUGCAUAUACGAAAAAGUUUGAGAGUAUUAAAAAACAUAUGAAUUAUAUGAAUUUCGGAAUUAUAUUCCUAAAUUUUCAAGAUUACUAAGAUUCCAAAAAUUUGUAAUAUGCCAAAACUUCCUAAUUUAAAAUUUGUGCUCCGAUUUGAUCCGAUUGGAUUUGUAAUGAACUUUUAUAUUUUAUUGUUAGUUUUGGAUACCUUUUAUUCAUUUUUUUUGUAUUAAACAUAUACUUAUACAUUAAAAAGAAAAACGUACUAUUAUAACAAAAAUUAAUUGAAUUUAUAUAUAAGCAUAUACUAAAUACUGAGAAAGAAAAUAAAUUGCAUAUACAAAAAAGUUUGAUAGUAUUAAAAAACAUAUGAAUUCUAUGAAUUUCCGAAUCAGUAAUGCUAUUCUUACCAUAUUUUUAUACCACAUUUAUAUAUUACCUUAUGUGGCAUUUGAUGUGGACAACCACAUCAUUUAAAUUAAUCAAAAUUUAAUUUAAAUUAAAAACCAUUUAAUAAACCAAAAAUUAAAAAAAAAAAACUGGAAUUAAAUGGUGAUUGUGGCAUACGAAAAGUCUUCUCUUUCCUUCCUCGUUCAAUCCUACUUCUUCUCCCGUUUCUUCUUCCACGCUAGUUCUUUUACGUCAAUUUUUCAGGUCAGUCAAAUCCACCAGCUUUGGGCUUACCAUUCCCUCAGGGUUUUGUUUUUUGGAACUCAUGAGCAACUUCCCAGUGGGUCACCCAUCCUGUGAGCGCUCUGGCCUCUUUCUCGCUUAACUUCGGAGUUCCUACGGAACCCGAAGCCCGUGAGCUCUCAAAAUGCCUCGUGCUAGGUAGGGAUGAGAAUAUACAUUUAAGGAUCACUCCCUUGGGCGAUGUGGGAUGUCACAAUCCAAAUAUACAUUUAAGGAUCACUCCCUUGGGCGAUGUGGGAUGUCACAAUCCAAAUAUACAUUUAAGGAUCACUCCCUUGGGCGAUGUGGGAUGUCACAAUCCACCCCCCUUAGGGGCCCGACGUCCUCGUCGGCACACUUCCGACCAGGGAUUAGCUCUGAUACCAUUUGUCACAUCCCAGCCAGGGGCGGACCACUUCCCCGGCCCGCUCCACCACCGUAGCACGAUAUUGUCCGCUUUGGGCUUACCAUUCCCUCAUGGUUUUGUUUUUGGGAACUCACGAGCAACUUCCCAGUGGGUCACCCAU
rnacentral:lncRNA from 1 species